CACGUACCAUUUCUGGUUCCAGUUUGAGUAUUGUUUGCUGUCGGAGUAGUGUUUCCAGUUUGAGUAUUGUUUGCUGUCGGAGUAGUGUUUCCAGUUUGAGUAUUGUUUGCUGUUGGAGUAGUGUUUCCAGUUGGAGUAUUGUUUACAGUUGGAGCAGGGUUACCAUUUACAGUCAUGUUUCCAGUUUGAGUAUUGUAUGCAGUUGGAGUACUGUUUCCAUUUUGAGUAUUGUUGCAAAUUGACGCAUAAGUUCCAUCAGCACAAUAACAAGCAAAUGAUAGAGAAUCCUGAUUAGUUCCGCAUAGCCCACCUGACCUAAUGCAAUUUCUGCAGACCCUAUUAUUCGCAGACCACUGCAAUGAGAAGCCACUAGCAAGUGCAUCCUGAAGAAGAACGAUUGAAACUGAAGAAACUGCCAAGAGCCUCGCCGCAGUUUCAUUGACUGGAACAGAGAUAUUUGUGUCACAUAUGAUAUUAGCUCCAGUUUCAGAGAUAGAUGGUGAAUCUUCUCCUAUUGUGAACAAACUUUCGCUGUUGGUUCCAUCCACAGUGCAAUUGAACAUAUGUGGGGAUCGUGGUGCAGGCUGAUCAUUAGAUGUGGAGCAACCGUAGUGUAGAGUAAUGUUUUGAUCAUUGGGUGAAAACUCAAAAAGGUUUCCAUCCAAGGUUGUGUUGUAAAAAGAUCUGGGACAAGUGGUGUUCCAUAAAUCCUCUCUUGCAACCUUGAGAAUGUAUGAGGCGUUAUUGAUUUCCAGGACACGAUAUUGUCUUGAUGUAAUAGUAAGUAUUGGGACAUCUCCUUGGCAAUUAUUGAGCUGGAAAUCUGGAUAUCCGCAAUAAUCCGGCCUACUCCCACCCCAGAAU
rnacentral:lncRNA from 1 species